rnacentral:ribozyme from 12 species
AUUUUUUUCUUUUCUUUUUCUUUUUCUUUUUGCUAAGUCAGAGUGUAACUCUUAUGGCAUCAUUCACAAAGA